UACGGAGGGUGCAAGCGUUAUCCGGAAUCACUGGGUUUAAAGGGUGCGUAGGCGGCGCGGUAAGUCGGGUGUGAAAUUUCGAGGCUUAACUUCGAAACUGCAUUCGAUACUGCCGUGCUAGAGGACUGGAGAGGAGACUGGAAUUUACGGUGUAGCGGUGAAAUGCGUAGAUAUCGUAAGGAAGACCAGUGGCGAAGGCGGGUCUCUGGACAGUUCCUGACGCUGAGGCACGAAGGCCAGGGGAGCAAACGGG
rnacentral:rRNA from 1 species